UGCAGUCGGGCGGUAACACAGAGGAGCUUGCUCCUUGGGUGACGAGCGGCGGACGGGUGAGUAAAGUCUGGGGAUCUGCCUGAUGGAGGGGGAUAACUACUGGAAACGGUAGCUAAUACCGCAUGACGUCUUCGGACCAAAGUGGGGGACCUUCGGGCCUCACGCCAUGAGAUGAACCCAGAUGGGAUUAGCUGGUAGGUGAGGUAACGGCUCACCUAGGCGACGAUCCCUAGCUGGUCUGAGAGGAUGACCAGCCACACUGGAACUGAGACACGGUCCAGACUCCUACGGGAGGCAGCAGUGGGGAAUAUUGCACAAUGGGGGAAACCCUGAUGCAGCCAUGCCGCGUGUGUGAAGAAGGCCUUCGGGUUGUAAAGCACUUUCAGCGGGGAGGAAGGCAAUAAACUUAAUAAGUUUGUUGAUUGACGUUACCCGCAGAAGAAGCACCGGCUAACUCCGUGCCAGCAGCCGCGGUAAUACGGAGGGUGCAAGCGUUAAUCGGAAUGACUGGGCGUAAAGCGCACGCAGGCGGUCUGUUAAGUUGGAUGUGAAAUCCCCGGGCUCAACCCGGGAACAGCAUUCAAAACUGACAGGCUAGAGUCUCGUAGAGGGGGGUAGAAUUCCAGGUGUAGCGGUGAAAUGCGUAGAGAUCUGGAGGAAUACCGGUGGCGAAGGCGGCCCCCUGGACGAAGACUGACGCUCAGGUGCGAAAGCGUGGGGAGCAAACAGGAUUAGAUACCCUGGUAGUCCACGCCGUAAACGAUGUCGACUUGGAGGCUGUGGUCUUGAACCGUGGCUUCCGGAGCUAACGCGUUAAGUCGACCGCCUGGGGAGUACGGCCGCAAGGUUAAAACUCAAAUGAAUUGACGGGGGCCCGCACAAGCGGUGGAGCAUGUGGUUUAAUUCGAUGCAACGCGAAGAACCUUACCUACUCUUGACAUCCAGAGAAGACUGUAGAGAUACGGUUGUGCCUUCGGGAGCUCUGAGACAGGUGCUGCAUGGCUGUCGUCAGCUCGUGUUGUGAAAUGUUGGGUUAAGUCCCGCAACGAGCGCAACCCUUAUCCUUUGUUGCCAGCGAUACGGUCGGGAACUCAAAGGAGACUGCCGGUGAUAAACCGGAGGAAGGUGGGGAUGACGUCAAGUCAUCAUGGCCCUUACGAGUAGGGCUACACACGUGCUACAAUGGCGCAUACAAAGAGAAGCGAGCCUGCGAGGGUGAGCGGACCUCAUAAAGUGCGUCGUAGUCCGGAUUGGAGUCUGCAACUCGACUCCAUGAAGUCGGAAUCGCUAGUAAUCGUAGAUCAGAAUGCUACGGUGAAUACGUUCCCGGGCCUUGUACACACCGCCCGUCACACCAUGGGAGUGGGUUGCAAAAGAAGUAGGUAGCUUAAC
rnacentral:rRNA from 1 species